AAAAAGACAAACCCUGGUUUCCGUGCCCAACAUUUGACCGUCCGUCUUAUUUAAAAAAAAUAUGAAAAAAAAUUAAAAAGAUAAGUCACGCAUAAAAUAUUAAUCAUGUUUUAUAAUAUAACAACAACGAAAAUACGAAUUAUAAAAAAAUUUCAUAUAAGACGGAUAGUCAAAGUUGGACACGGAAACUCAGGGUUUGCCUUUUU
rnacentral:pre_miRNA from 1 species